rnacentral:lncRNA from 1 species
AUGCCCAAGAAGACUACGAAGAUUUAUGAGGGAUCAGAUUCAGGACCCUGCACUCGCAAGGCAGGCACGGUGCCGCUGAGGUACAUCCCCCGCCCCAACACCGUAACAUUUUUGCAGCUUUCUUGUUGGAUGGCACUUGGCAACAGCAUUCACCACAUUUCUGAGCACACCUCGUCAAGGCUUCUCACAAAAGAAGACUUCCAGAACUGCUUCAGAACAUGGCAGCAAGGAUGGGAUAAGUGUGUUUGAAGUGAGCAGGAGUACUCUGAGGGAAAUGAACGGCAAUGUGUUCUUACUGUAAGAAGUUUUUAAAAUUUAAAAAAUUGCUAUGUAUUUGUCCACCCUGUAUAUAUCUAUGGUUUGUUUUGAGCAUUGCAGUGGUCACAUUUAGGCAUGUGAUGCAUUUUGGUUUCAGUAUGUGGUGUAAGCAGUGUUCUAACUUGGUUCUUUUGCAUGUGGCUAUGUACUUGCCCAAGCACCACCUUAGAGAGAGAAGAUGCCUUUCCUCAUAGAAUUGUUAUGUCACCCUCAUUGAAAAACCAAGCGAUUUUAAGCAAAAACUUCACUUCUGGGCUUUCAGUGUUAUUCCACUGACACAUGUGUUCAACCUUCUGCCAGAACCACCACUAUCCUGACCACUGUAGAAGUGUAGUGAGUUGUCAAAUCAGAGAGUAGUACUUCCCUUAAAAGAGUGGCUUUUCAAGAUUUUUAAAAUCUAUUUUGGACCUCUGGAAUUUCAAGAUACAUUUUAGGAUGACCUCGUCCAUUCCCGUCCUAAGUUCCAAGUUUCAUUGAAUCUGCAGGCAUGUGGAGGUCCAUUGUGAUCUUAACCACAUCUAGUCUUCCUAUCCAUGAGGAGUAGAUGUCUCUCCAUCUUUUUAUCUUUUUAUGUUUUAUGAUUUUAAGAAGGUUUUGCAGUUUUUAUCACAGGUUUCCACUUCUCGCUUUUAAUUUAUUCCAGAGCACUCGUUUUCAUUUUUGAAAGUACUGUAAGUGGGAUUACUGAAUUUAUUGUUGGAUUGUUCAUUGCUAGUGCCUAGAGACACAACUGACUUCUGCAUAGCGAUCUGUGAUCCUGCAACCUUCCUGAAGCCACCUGUUUUAUAUAUAUUUUGGGAGGGAUUCCUUAAAAAUCAAUAAAUCUUCACACAAAUACAUUUUACCUCUUCUUUUGCAGUACGGCUGUCUUUUACUCCUUCUUCUUGCCCUAUGCCUGGCUAA